rnacentral:rRNA from 1 species
CACGCCCUAAACGAUGUCAACUGGUUGUUGGAAGGGUUCCCUUUCAGUAACGAAGCUAACGCGUGAAGUUGACCGCCUGGGGAGUACGGCCGCAAGGUUGAAACUCAAAGGAAUUGACGG